CCGCUAGUGGUUCAGUGAUAGAAUUCUUGCCUUGCAUGCAGGAGACCUGGGUUCUAUUCCCAUCCAACGCA
rnacentral:tRNA from 1 species